GACGAACCGUGCGAACGUUGUUCGGAAUCACUGGGCUUAAAGGGCGCGUAGGCGGGCGAUCAAGUCAGAGGUGAAAUCCCACGGCUCAACCGUGGAAGUGCCCCUGAUACUGAUUGUCUCGAGGGAGGUAGGGGCGUGCGGAACUUCCGGUGGAGCGGUGAAAUGCGUAGAUAUCGGAAGGAAUACCGACGGCGAAAGCAGCGCGCUGGACCUUUACUGACGCUGAGGCGCGAAAGCCAGGGGAGCAAACGGG
rnacentral:rRNA from 1 species